CACGCGGGAUUGCAGCGGCUGGAAGGACAAGGGGAGCGGCUGAGUGCAAGGACGGAUUCUGUUGGAUUCUGACCGAUGGGCUCGCGGGCCGGCCCUGUAGUGACUGACCCUGGCUCUUACGGACAGUGGCCUAGAGGGACCGACAGAAGGGCAAAGGUAAGCCGGAGUCAACUUGUACUGGCCGGCAAGAGCUAAUUGCCAAAUUUUUAGGAAUCUGGGAGCUAGUUGUCAAACAGCUGUUGUUGAAAAGUUCAUUGUGUAAACUUCCCCAUCACAUGGAUCAUAUUUAGACAAAGGUAAUAAAUACUCAAAAUGCA